AGAGUGAACGCUGGCGGCAGGCCUAACACAUGCAAGUCGAACGGCAGCACAGAGGAGCUUGCUCCUUGGGUGGCGAGUGGCGGACGGGUGAGGAAUACAUCGGAAUCUGCCUUAUCGUGGGGGAUAACGUAGGGAAACUUACGCUAAUACCGCAUACGACCUACGGGUGAAAGCGGAGGACCUUCGGGCUUCGCGCGAUAAGAUGAGCCGAUGUCGGAUUAGCUAGUUGGCGGGUAAAGGCCCACCAAGGCGACGAUCCGUAGCUGGUCUGAGAGGAUGAUCAGCCACACUGGAACUGAGACACGGCCCAGACUCCUACGGGAGGCAGCAGUGGGGAAUUUUGGACGAAUGGGGGCAACCGUGAUCCGAGCCAUGCCGCGUGCGGGAAGAACGGCCUUCGGUGUAACCGGUCGUUUGGUCGGGAAGAAAGGCGAGGCGUUGAAGUACGGCGUGUCUUGACGGUACCGGCGAGAAUAAGCAACCGCUAACGUACGUACGACG
rnacentral:rRNA from 1 species